rnacentral:rRNA from 1 species
CUUUGCUGGCGACCGGCGCACGGGUGAGUAACACGUAUCCAACCUGCCCUUUACUCGGGGAUAGCCUUUCGAAAGAAAGAUUAAUACCCGAUAGCAUAAUGAUUCCGCAUGGUUUCAUUAUUAAAGGAUUCCGGUAAAGGAUGGGGAUGCGUUCCAUUAGGUUGUUGGUGAGGUAACGGCUCACCAAGCCUUCGAUGGAUAGGGGUUCUGAGAGGAAGGUCCCCCACAUUGGAACUGAGACACGGACCAA